rnacentral:rRNA from 1 species
GAUGAACGCUGGCGGCGUGCCUAAUACAUGCAAGUCGAGCGAACAGAUGAGGAGCUUGCUCCUCUGACGUUAGCGGCGGACGGGUGAGUAACACGUGGAUAACCUACCUAUAAGACUGGGAUAACUUCGGGAAACCGGAUCUAAUACCGGAUAAUAUAUUGAACCGCAUGGUUCAAUAGUGAAAGACGGUUUUGCUGUCACUUAUAGAUGGAUCCGCGCCGCAUUAGCUAGUUGGUAAGGUAACGGCUUACCAAGGCAACGAUGCGUAGCCGACCUGAGAGGGUGAUCGGCCACACUGGAACUGAGACACGGUCCAGACUCCUACGGGAGGCAGCAGUAGGGAAUAUUCCGCAAUGGGCGAAAGCCUGACGGAGCAACGCCGCGUGAGUGAUGAAGGUCUUCGGAUCGUAAAACUCUAUUAUUAGGGAAGAACAAAUGUGUAAGUAACUAUGCACGUCUUGACGGUACCUAAUCAGAAAGCCACGGCUAACUACGUG